rnacentral:rRNA from 1 species
AGUGAACGCUGGCGGCAGGCCUAAUACAUGCAAGUCGAACGGCAGCACAGCAGAGCUUGCUCUGUGGGUGGCGAGUGGCGGACGGGUGAGGAAUACGUGGGAAUCUGCCCAGUCGUGGGGGAUAACGUAGGGAAACUUACGCUAAUACCGCAUGCGCCCUUGGGGAAAGCCGGGGACCUUCGGGCCUGGCGCGAUUGGAUGAGCCCACGUCGGAUUAGCUAGUUGGCGGGGUAAAGGCCCACCAAGGCGACGAUCCGUAGCUGGUCUGAGAGGAUGAUCAGCCACACUGGAACUGAGACACGGUCCAGACUCCUACGGGAGGCAGCAGUAGGGAAUAUUGGACAAUGGGCGCAAGCCUGAUCCAGCCAUGCCGCGUGAGUGAAGAAGGCCCUCGGGUUGUAAAGCUCUUUUGUCCGGAAAGAAAGCGCCGGGUUAAUACCCUGGUGUCCUGACGGUACCGGAAGAAUAAGCACCGGCUAACUUCGUGCCAGCAGCCGCGGU